GCGUUGCAUGAAUCUUCCAUACAUUGACUUUUAUCCCUUUUUAAUGCACAGUUUUGCUGCAGAACUACUAGAUGAUAGUUUACUACGUUGUUUACAUGUGAUGCGUUCAGCAGCUGAGCCUCUCUGCAGGGAAAGAGUCACUCUGCAGGAAACACCCCGGAAGUCUCAUCGUGCAGAGAAGCAGCAUGGCACCGGUGUGGAAUAACUUGUUGACGUGUUCCCUUCUCUACAAACAACCUGCGCAUUCUGCUAUCCCGUCAACAUUGAUGAGUGCAGAGUUUCUGGAACACAUCUGAGGACGGCCGGGUUUCUUCACUUCUUCUCUUCUUCCUCCACUCGUGCAAAGGAUUUCUCCCAGACGUACACCUCGAUGAUCCUGAUCCCAGACCCCACCGCGGAUCCUGUCGUCAGUGAGAACAGAAGAAAAAGGAAAUGUAAGUUUAAUGAACACUGCAGAAAUUGUUUAUUAAAAAACAAUGGGGACAACUUCUAUGUGAAAGCUACAUUGGAUCCUAUUUUGAACAUUACUGGUUACAAGGUUACAAGGUUCUUCCACUUACAGCUACUUAAAGUAAAGUUAUGUCACGUCUGAUGAUUGGGACUUCAGUGCAGUGAGAAACCAGGUUAUUUUAUAUUAUUUAUUACUUGACCAUAUGUAUUGUUGAGGAAAUAUUUUCCUAGGCCCAUAACUUUGACCCAGUUUAUCAGUUUGGACUGCCCUCACUGGAGCACUGAACUUAGAAAAGAGUCUUCCAAACAUCAUCAUCACUUGAUCAUGAGCACCACAAUGCCUGCCAAGCAUGACGGACCGAUCUCCGCCCACAGCAGCCCCCCCCACAGGAAGUGCAGGAAGACGGACACCUGGAAAGAGAAUGUACCAAAACAAUAUUUGCACCGGGGCCAAUCACAACCUUGUUACGCCACUGAUUGUAGGCUGGCCUAUCAAAGUACACUGACUUCAAUUGUAUAUUUAAUAGAGAUACUCUAGGUAUACCUCUUUCACUGUUAAUAUGU